UNGCUGUUCUAGUGCCUGUAACUUUCCUU
rnacentral:piRNA from 1 species